rnacentral:lncRNA from 1 species
CAAUCUCCUUCCUUCCCGAGCUCCUCUACUCUGGCUGACACUCCUUCCAGCUAGGUCCUAAAAAUACCCCCGAGAGGGCCGGAGGGUGGGGUGCCGUGGAGCUGAGCUGGGGAGAGGGGCGUCAUCCGGAUCUUCUGGGAACACUGGGGUGGAGGCUGAAGAACAGAAGAGGGAAUCAUGAAUGAUCUAGAUAUGAGAAUGGAAGACACCCACCUGUAAAAGAACCUAUAAUGGAGGAAUUUUGGAGAGAAAAUAAAUGCUUGUUAAUUGAAACA